UUUUAUUUGGUAAGAGUAAGGGGGGGGGGAGGUCGAGGAAACAGAUGUGGUUUCUCACUUUGAGGUCAGAGUCCUCUCUCA